GUGGGGAAUUGUUCGCAAUGGGCGCAAGCCUGACGACGCAACGCCGCGUGGAGGAUGAAGGUCUUCGGAUUGUAAACUCCUGUUGAUCGGGACGAACAACCAUCGGAUUAAUACUCCGGAGGUCUGACGGUACCGAUUGAGGAAGCCCCGGCUAACUCUGUGCCAGCAGCCGCGGUAAUACAGAGGGGGCAAGCGUUGUUCGGAAUUACUGGGCGUAAAGGGCGCGUAGGCGGCCGCCUAAGUCAGACGUGAAAUCCCUCGGCUCAACCGGGGAACUGCGUCUGAUACUGGGUGGCUUGAAUCCGGGAGAGGGAUGCGGAAUUCCAGGUGUAGCGGUGAAAUGCGUAGAUAUCUGGAGGAACACCGGUGGCGAAGGCGGCAUCCUGGACCGGCAUUGACGCUGAGGCGCGAAAGCCAGGGGAGCAAACGGGAUUAGAAACCCUUGUAGUCC
rnacentral:rRNA from 1 species